rnacentral:rRNA from 1 species
CAAGGAAUUUUGGGCAAUGGGCGAAAGCCUGACCCAGCGACACCGCGUGAGGGAAGAAGGCCUUCGGGUUGUAAACCUCUUUUCUUGGGGAAGAAUUUUGACGGUACCCAAGGAAUAAGCCUCGGCCAACUACGUGCCAGCAGCCGCGGUAAUACGUAGGAGGCGAACGUUAUUCGGAUUUACUGGGCGUAAAGGGAGCGUAGGCGGUUCCUUAAGUCAGAUGUGAAAUCUUCUAGCUCAAUUAGAAGGGGUCAUUUGAUACUGAGGGGCUUGAGAGCAGCAGAGGGAAAUGGAAUCUCCAGUGUAGCGGUGAAAUGCGUAGAUAUUGGGGAGAACACCAGUGGCGAAGGCGAUUUCCCAGGUUGUUUCUGACGCUGAGGCUCGAAAGCGUGGGGAGCGAAGCGGAUUAGAUACCCGCGUAGUCCACGCCCUAAACGGUGGACACUAGAUAUAGGAGGUAUCGACCCUUUCUGUGUCGAAGCUAACGCUUUAAGUGUCCCGCCUGGGGAGUACGGCCGCAAGGCUG